CCCAGGGCCGGGCUGGGCCACUUGGUGGGGCAGAGCCACCGCCAUGAUGGCACCGGGCAGGGGGCAGCCACAGGACAGGCUGUGCCAGGCCACAUGUGGGCUGUGUGUUGGGCAUGCCUGGAUUACAUGAAACUAGGGUAAAAAGACACAUCAACAGUGUGGUAGCAGGGAUAAGAAACUGCGGACCCAUCCCAUAUGUGUGCCCUGGUGAAGGGAGGGCAGCCUGCAGGCUGCUGGCUCCUGCUUGCACUUAGUGGCCCAGCUUCCGGCUUCACAGUCAAGGCCCAGAUGUUUGAUGUGUGGAGAUUUUUACACAUGGAAGCAACAUUGCUUGAGGUUCUGUGGCACAAGUACAACCAUUUAGCUUUUACCAGUCCAAACUGACUUUGCAGCUCAGAGCCUGGUAUUAGGGUCUUACUUAG
rnacentral:lncRNA from 1 species